GGAUGUGAGGGCGAUCUGGCUGCGACAUCUGUCACCCCACUGAUCGCCAGGGUUGAUUCGGCUGAUCUGGCUGGCUAGGCGGGUGUCCCCUUCCUCCCUCACCGCUCCAUGUUUGUCCCUCCCGAAGCUGCGCGCUCGGUCGAAGAGGACGGCCUUCCCCAGAGGAGGGCCGUUCUUUGGUCAAGGGUAUACGAGUAGCCGCCCUCCCCUGCUAGAAUCUCCAAACAAGCUCUCAAUUACAUGACUUUACUUUUGUAAGCUGUAUUUUCUAGGAAGUUUACCAUUUCAACUACAUUUUCAUAUUUAAUGGACUAAAGU
ensembl:misc_RNA 7SK 7SK RNA